UAAAGCUAGGUUACCAAAGUUA
rnacentral:miRNA from 1 species